rnacentral:rRNA from 1 species
UGAGUAAUGUCUGGGAAACUGCCCGAUGGAGGGGGAUAACUACUGGAAACGGUAGCUAAUACCGCAUAACGUCGCAAGACCAAAGUGGGGGACCUUCGGGCCUCACACCAUCGGAUGUGCCCAGAUGGGAUUAGCUAGUAGGUGGGGUAAUGGCUCACCUAGGCGACGAUCCCUAGCUGGUCUGAGAGGAUGACCAGCCACACCGGAACUGAGACACGGUCCAGACUCCUACGGGAGGCAGCAGUGGGGAAUAUUGCACAAUGGGCGCAAGCCUGAUGCAGCCAUGCCGCGUGUAUGAAGAAGGCCUUCGGGUUGUAAAGUACUUUCAGCGGGGAGGAAGGCGGUGGAGUUAAUAGCUUCACCGAUUGACGUUACCCGCAGAAGAAGCACCGGCUAACUCCGUGCCAGCAGCCGCGGUAAUACGGAGGGUGCAAGCGUUAAUCGGAAUUACUGGGCGUAAAGCGCACGCAGGCGGUCUGUCAAGUCGGAUGUGAAAUCCCCGGG